rnacentral:siRNA from 1 species
UGUUGGUGAAAGGAGCUGCUUCCA